UACGGAGGGUGCAAGCGUUAAUCGGAAUUACUGGGCGUAAAGCGUGCGCAGGCGGUUUGUUAAGUCUGCUGUGAAAUCCCCGAGCUCAACUGGGCGGGGUCAGCGGAUACGGUCUCACUUGAGCAAGCUAGGGGGCAAUGGAAUUCCCGGUGUAGUGGUGGAAUGCGUAGAUAUCGGGAGGAACACCAGUGGCGAAGGCGGUUGCCUGGGGCUUUGCUGACGCUGAUGCGCGAAAGCGUGGGGAGCGAUCCGG
rnacentral:rRNA from 1 species